rnacentral:rRNA from 1 species
UACAGAGGGGGCAAGCGUUAUUCGGAAUUAUUGGGCGUAAAGGGCGCGUAGGCGGCCUUGCAAGUGGAAGGUGAAAUCCCUCGGCUUAACCGAGGAACUGCCUUCCAGACUGCUAGGCUUGAGACCGGGAGAGGUGAGUGGAAUUCCCAGUGUAGCGGUGAAAAUGCGUAGAUAUUGGGAGGAACACCAGUGGCGAAGGCGGCUCACUGGACCGGUACUGACGCUGAUGCGCGAAAGCGUGGGGAGCAAACGGG